CUUAGUUUGAAUGAAUUUUUGAGUUGUUUUUAUACUUUAUGCUUUUCUAAAGCUCUUUGUUGAAUAUAGAGUUUAGGAUUUACAUUUUAGAGUUAUACAUUUGAUUGAAAUAUGGUUAGGUCUUAUAUUUUCUAUCUUUUUGUUUGGUUCUUCUUGGUUAGCUUAAUAAUAUGUUAUUUUAUUUGUUUAUCAUGCUAUUGUUGUCUGAUAAAUUGACCUUCUUUUAGGUUGCUGGAGCUCACUGGAGUUCACGGAAGUGUCUUAUCAUCAGAAGGGUGAUAGACUCUUCUAACCUCACCACCAUCAACGCCUCCGGUGAGCACCUACAUUGUAGAGAGUUUAACAAAUGCGUUGAGAAGACACUGUAGAAGUACUGGAGGAAUGCAUUGAAAGUUUGAAUUUUGUCAUUGAUGGGACACUCUUAUUCAUGUUGAUGUAGCAAGUGGUGGUUUUAUGGCACUUUCCCUGUACCCAAAUCUUGAUGGGAUUUCUGUUUACUAAUGCCAUUUCUUCUUAUGUUUGUUGUGAGUGAUGACCUAUAAACACUUUGUUAUGUGUAUUUUGAUUUCAUCAAUUAAAUUUCUUUUAAAUAA